rnacentral:rRNA from 1 species
UGUACCCGCGGCAAGACGGAAAGACCCCGUGAACCUUUACUAUAGCUUGACACUGAACAUUGAGCCUUGAUGUGUAGGAUAGGUGGGAGGCUUUGAAGCGUGGACGCCAGUCUGCGUGGAGCCGACCUUGAAAUACCACCCUUUAAUGUUUGAUGUUCUAACGUGGAUCCGUAAUCCGGGUUGCGGACAGUGUCUGGUGGGUAGUUUGACUGGGGCGGUCUCCUCCUAAAGAGUAACGGAGGAGCACGAAGGUUGGCUAAUCCUGGUCGGACAUCAGGAGGUUAGUGCAAUGGCAUAAGCCAGCUUGACUGCGAGCGUGACGGCGCGAGCAGGUGCGAAAGCAGGUCAUAGUGAUCCGGUGGUUCUGAAUGGAAGGGCCAUCGCUCAACGGAUAAAAGGUACUCCGGGGAUAACAGGCUGAUACCGCCCAAGAGUUCAUAUCGACGGCGGUGUUUGGCACCUCGAUGUCGGCUCAUCACAUCCUGGGGCUGAAGUAGGUCCCAAGGGUAUGGCUGUUCGCCAUUUAAAGUGGUACGCGAGCUGGGUUUAGAACGUCGUGAGACAGUUCGGUCCCUAUCUGCCGUGGGCGCUGGAGAACUGAGGGGGGCUGCUCCUAGUACGAGAGGACCGGAGUGGACGCAUCACUGGUGUUCGGGUUGUCAUGCCAAUGGCACUGCCCGGUAGCUAAAUGCGGAAGAGAUAAGUGCUGAAAGCAUCUAAGCACGAAACUUGCCCCGA